AGUGAACGCUGGCGGCGUGCUUAACACAUGCAAGUCGAACGAGAACGGAUUAUAGCUUGCUAUAAUUGUCAGCUAAGUGGCGCACGGGUGAGUAAUGUAUAGGUAAUAUGCCUCUUACUAAGGGAUAACAAUUGGAAACGAUUGCUAAUACCUUAUACUCCUUAUUAACCUAAGUUAAUAAGGGAAAGAUUUAUUGGUAAGAGAUUAGCCUGUAUUGUAUCAGUUAGUUGGUGGGGUAAUGGCUUACCAAGACUAUGACACAUAACUGGUUUGAGAGGAUGAUCAGUCACACUGGAACUGAGACACGGUCCAGAUUCCUACGGGAGGCAGCAGUGGGGAAUAUUGCACAAUGGACGAAAGUCUGAUGCAGCAACGCCGCGUGGAGGAUGACACAUUUCGGUGCGUAAACUCCUUUUAUAUGAGAAGAUAAUGACGGUAUUAUAUGAAUAAGCACCGGCUAACUCCGUGCCAGCCGCCGCAGUAA
rnacentral:rRNA from 1 species